rnacentral:lncRNA from 1 species
GCCCUUUCACAUUGGUGUCUUUCACUUAGUAAUAUGCAUCUAAGCUUCUUCCAUGUCUUUUCAUGGCUUCCUAACUUUUUUUUUCAGUGCUUAAUAAUAUUCUGUUAUCUAGAAUUCAAUUCAUUUGUUUUCAUCAGAACAUCUUGAUUGCUUCCAAGUUUGGGAAGUUAUGAAUAAAGAUGCUAUAAACAUGUAUAGUUAGAGUUUUAUGUGGAUAUGUUUUCAAUUCACUGGAUUAAAUACCAGAGAACAUGAGUGCUGAACCACAUGGGAAAGGUGAAUGGUUCACAGGAGGCCAGUCAUUAGUAUUCUGCUUUGUAAAUAGGUAACUUAAGGUCAAAAAAGUUAAAUGACUUACCCAAGAAUUACACAGUAAUAAGUGAUAGAGCAGGUCUAAACUUUGGGAUUUCCCCCUACUGGUCCAAGAGUUUUUACUAUCUUAUGUGGCUUCCUCAUUACAUAACAGAGAAAAAGUUUGGAUUUCUUACCCAGGGGUCUAAGUCUAAAAUUAUCACACAGCUCAAAAAAACUGCAGUAACAUUGUAUCUAGAAGUGGGUGGGGAAAAAGUACAAGCUUGAAAAGUAUAAUAUUUUAAGACCUUUAAGAGUGAUGAGGAUAUUAAAGUUUCUAAAAAACCCAAGAGCUUUAUUUAUAUUAAAACAUGUUUAGAUGAUAGUGAAAUAGCAAAUUAUAGGAGGGAAGAAAAUAUUUACAAAUCACAUAUUCUAUAAGGGUUUAAUAUCCAGAGUUGGGCUGGAUUUGUGGCUCAGUGGUAGGGCACUUGCCUAGCAAGUGUGAGGUACUGGGUUCAAUUUCCAGCACCACAUAGGAAAAUAAAUAAAAUAAGGGUAUUAUGUCCAACUACAACUAAAAAUAUUUUUAAAAAAUACCCAAAGUAAUGGGCUUGGGUUGUGACUCAGUGGUAGAGUGCUUGCCUAGCAUGUGUGAGGCCCUGCACCACAUAAAAAUAAAUUAGUAAAAUAAACAUAUGUGUCC